rnacentral:lncRNA from 1 species
AUUCGAAUCAAAAUUACAUUAUUAUGUAAAAAAAGGAUAUAAUCUACCGAAUACAUAAAUUGCAAAUAAUCUAAGGUAGACAAUCUUCAUACUUUGGUAAUUUUCAAUCAACUGAAGAUAAUAUAACGAUUUAUAUGGUUUUUAUGUAUUGUAAUGGACGGGGAAUUUUCAAAUGAUUAUUACUUUUACAUAUGAGGAUUUUCCAAACUGCAUAAAAACAGGUUUGUCAUCAAUGAGUCUUUAUCAACUGAUUUAUUAAGUUUAUGUAAUACUUCAAUGUCUAUCUUUUCUAAAGUACUUACUUUAUCCCAUAAAUUUUUAAUUCAAAUUCAAACAAUGUCCGAAUUAACGGAUAGCCUUAAGGUGCUACAACAAAAUCCUGGGCUUCAGAUUUCUGGAUUGUUACCACACCCUCGUAUAUGAUGAAAUUGUGCGAUGUUUUGUUUUUGUGAAGAAAAGACCGCCAUGGGGUCACCAACAGAAUACGUCAAGCCUAUACCAUUUUCAAAGACAGAACGAGGGUGCGCUGUUGCAAUGAUUUUGCAGAACAACUAUUUGGAUAUUAGCAAAACUGAGGUCUCAUAAAAGAGAGGAAUCACCAGGAGGAGGAGGAUUGUGGAGUUGAGGUGAUCAAGUGAUGGAGAUCAAUUGCCUUCAAGAGCACUACUACUACUAGGUGCCUAAGGAUAUUUGUCCUCCUUGCUGUCCUGAUCUGAAUAUGAUGGAUUAGUUUGUCUAGAGCUACCUUGAAUCAAAGGUCAACAGAAGUCCCUGAUCGACACUAUCGUCCUGUAAUGCAAGAAUUUAGAUCAGAUUUUAUUUUCGAGGCCCUAUAGGCAUUUCAAAACCUGAGCCGAAUCGAUGCCCUUAUUGAGUGUAACGGAGGCUAAAUUGAAUAAAGUAAUAUAUUCUCAAUGAUAA